rnacentral:rRNA from 1 species
UACGUAGGGGGCAAGCGUUGUCCGGAAUCAUUGGGCGUAAAGAGCGUGUAGGCGGUCCGGUAAGUCCGUUGUGAAAGUCAAGGGCUCAACCCUUGAAUGCCGGCGGAUACUGUCGGGCUAGAGUCCGGAAGAGGCAAGUGGAAUUCCCGGUGUAGCGGUGAAAUGCGCAGAUAUCGGGAGGAACACCUAUGGCGAAGGCAGCUUGCUGGGACGGUACUGACGCUGAGACGCGAAAGCGUGGGGAGCAAACAGG